GAUGAACGCUGGCGGCGUGCUUAACACAUGCAAGUCGAACGGUGAACGAGGGAGCUUGCUCCCUCCGGAUCAGUGGCGAACGGGUGAGUAACACGUGAGCAAUCUGCCCUGGACUCUGGGAUAAGCGUUGGAAACGACGUCUAAUACCGGAUACGAGGCGUGGGGGCAUCCCCAACGCCUGGAAAGAACUUCGGUCCAGGAUGAGCUCGCGGCCUAUCAGGUAGUUGGUGAGGUAACGGCUCACCAAGCCUACGACGGGUAGCCGGCCUGAGAGGGUGACCGGCAACACUGGGACGGAGACACGGCCCAGACUCCUACGGGAGGCAGCAGUGGGGAAUAUUGCACAAUGGGCGCAAGCCUGAUGCAGCAACGCCGCGUGAGGGACGACGGCCUUCGGGUUGUAAACCUCUUUUAGCAGGGAAGAAGCGAAAGUGACGGUACCUGCAGAAAAAGCACCGGCUAACUACGUGCCAGCAGCCGCCGCCGUAA
rnacentral:rRNA from 1 species